GACGAACGCUGGCGGCGUGCUUAACACAUGCAAGUCGAACGGAAAGGCCCUGCUUUUGUGGGGUGCUCGAGUGGCGAACGGGUGAGUAACACGUGAGUAACCUGCCCUUGACUUUGGGAUAACUUCAGGAAACUGGGGCUAAUACCGGAUAGGAGCUCCUGCUGCAUGGUGGGGGUUGGAAAGUUUCGGCGGUUGGGGAUGGACUCGCGGCUUAUCAGCUUGUUGGUGGGUAGUGGCUUACCAAGGCUUUGACGGGUAGCCGGCCUGAGAGGGUGACCGGCCACAUUGGGACUGAGAUACGGACCAGACUCCUACGGGAGGCAGCAGUGGGGAAUAUUGCACAAUGGGCGGAAGCCUGAUGCAGCAACGCCGCGUGCGGGAUGACGGCCUUCGGGUUGUAAACCGCUUUCGCCUGUGACGAAGCGUGAGUGACGGUAAUGGGUAAAGAAGCACCGGCUAACUACGUG
rnacentral:rRNA from 1 species